rnacentral:rRNA from 1 species
UACGUAGGGUGCGAGCGUUAAUCGGAAUUACUGGGCGUAAAGCGUGCGCAGGCGGUUCGUUGUGUCGGCGGUGAAAGCCCCGGGCUUAACCUGGGAAUGGCCGUCGAAACUGGCGAACUGGAGUGUGGCAGAGGGGGGUGGAAUUCCGCGUGUAGCAGUGAAAUGCGUAGAGAUGCGGAGGAACACCGAUGGCGAAGGCAGCCCCUGGGCUGACACUGACGCUCAGGCACGAAAGCGUGGGGAGCAAAC